rnacentral:lncRNA from 1 species
UGGCACAGCGCACCCUGCAUCGGCAUGCUCGAGACGAGUGCGGGCGCGACCACCUUGUCCCACUUGAAGAUGGUGGCGGCGAACGUCAGUGCACUUCUCUACGCGCGCCGAUGCGGCUCACACACCCUCUUCCUGAACCCCGUCCACGUCCACCCAUCCGGUGAUGUACGCUCAUCUCCCCAUUUAUCCCAAAAUCUGGAUUGCACUUGCAUCUGUACGUACAUACAUAUGAAUAAGCACCAUUGUUCGCUUUAGUCUGGAUGCUUCAGUCUAUAAGCUAUCUGGAUGGCACCUGCAUCUGUUCAUGCAUAAAAUAAGCACCAUACUUCGGCCUAAUUUCUAUGUGUAAAUUUUGUUUAACUUUGACUGAAAAUAUAUACAAGUAAAUAUACAUGAUUGUUUCAUUUAAGCAUGCACAGAUUCUGUUCUGAUUACCUCCACUUUUUUUCACAACAAGCCAGCAAAGCAAAGAUUCAGUGAUGCUUGUUAUGGCCUUUGAAAAUUGUAAUUGUACCUAGUCUUGUAGGUUAAUUAUCUGAAAACACGAAAUUUUAGGGUGGUUCAUAGCUGUUGUUCAGGUCACUUCUUUAUAGGUUAACACUUGUUUCAUCCAUGCAUAUUUGUGCAGGAAGUAUUAUGUAGAACAGAGGAGAAGGGGCACAUGAUAUCAUCCCAGCUUGUUGGCUAACAUGCUCAUUUCAUUAGCUUUGCAAAGAUGUGAGUUAAGUAGCUUUAUACUAUAUAAAGUGUGCUGACCGGAGAUAGUUCUCUUCUCUGGUAGAAAGACAUGGAUGUGUUGCUGUAACACACAGCAAGACGUUGAGUAAACUUUUGCUUUCCUUUCAUUGGACUACAAAUUGACUAUUGUUAAGGUUCUAAUAAGUUUAGACAUACUUGUUAAUUCUGACCAUGCCUUUCUUAAGGACUGUAUUCAUGAAAUUUGUUUGUUGCAUAUGUUCGUACAUGUUCCUAUCUAAUUUAAUGAUGUGUGAAACUUCUGCCAAUCGACAUAGCACAACAAACUUUAGAAGUAGCUUUCUUCCAUCUGCAAAAGCUGAGAUGGAGAAGGAGAGACACACAAGUUUACAAUUGAAUAAGCUGCUUCCUGAGUGAGAGGUAGAUGCACCAGAUUUACCAAUGAAUAAACUGCUCCAUUAGGCACUAUUUUUCUUUUCUUUCCAAGUGACUGCUGCUCUUCUCUAGUGUAGUUCUCCAGGGCUCACCAAUUUUGUUAGACUGAACCUGAUUUGUAUAUUUGUAUGCAGAUUUCUCAACACUCAGAUUUAUGGAGUCUAAGGUUUGACAUUUAGGGGACUAUGGAUCUUUGGCUUUUGGUGUUGAGAUUGAUGUGCCCCUCGCUAUAUGUAAGUGGUGCUUAUGAUGUCGAUCCUUCUGCUAUGGAUUGUAGUUGGGCUUCACUGCCAUCGCAUUAAUACUAUUGAUGGCAGUGUCCCUGCUGUUGAGAAACCCAUUACGUCAGUUUUGGUGGUAUUUUUGCAUUGCCACUUAUCAAUUGUUUUAUUAUUGUUCUUGUCAAAUAGUUGUAUGCUUGAUAAUUGUUGAUGAUAUCUUAUGGUUGGAAAAGAAAUGUAUUUUUGGGCAAAAUGUCCACAUUCUUACAUAGGUCCAUUGUGGUCCCCUUCGUAGCCUGUUGGUUCUAUUUUUAUCAUAUAUCUUUUUUGUUCUAAGUGUUAAUUGUUGAGUGUCAACGACAUGUGGAUAUUGUUCUUCAGGUUAUUAUGGCUGAAACUUGGAUAAAACUAUGGGCAUACAAAAUACAUAUUUGUUUUUGUUGCCUUAUAAACAUGGUUGUGAACGAACUGAAUAUUGGCAAACAUGUAUAUAUCCAUUUUCACUUACUUUGUUGUUUCUGAAAGUGAAAGGGACAAAGGAUAGCGCAGAGAGCAGAGAACACAUGGGGUAUGUUGAAAUUUUUGGUCGAAUUUACAGUCCAUUAGCUGUCAUAAAUAUAUCACAACUAGCAUGCGUACAUCCUCACAACAUUGAUGAAGAUAUGCUUGAUAACUACUCCCUCCGUCCCAU